rnacentral:misc_RNA from 1 species
UCGUAACAAGGUUUCCGUAGGUGAACCUGCGGAAGGAUCAUUACCGAGUGAGGGCCCUCUGGGUCCAACCUCCCACCCGUGUUUAUUUACCUUAUUGCUUCGGCGGGCCCGCCUUCACUGGCCGCCGGGGGGCUCACGCCCCCGGGCCCGCGCCCGCCGAAGACACCCCGAACUCUGUCUGAAGAAUGAAGUCUGAGUGAAAAUAUAAAUUAUUUAAAACUUUCAACAACGGAUCUCUUGGUUCCGGCAUCGAUGAAGAACGCAGCGAAAUGCGAUACGUAAUGUGAAUUGCAAAUUCAGUGAAUCAUCGAGUCUUUGAACGCACAUUGCGCCCCCUGGUAUUCCGGGGGGCAUGCCUGUCCGAGCGUCAUUGCUGCCCUCAAGCCCGGCUUGUGUGUUGGGCCUCGUCCUCCGAUUCCGGGGGACGGGCCCGAAAGGCAGCGGCGGCACCGCGUCCGGUCCUCGAGCGUAUGGGGCUCUGUCACCCGCUCUGUAGGCCCGGCCGGCGCUUGCCGAUCAACCCAAAUUUUUAUCCAGGUUGACCUCGGAUCAGGUAGGGAUACCCGCUGAACUUAAGCAUAUCA